AUUUUUCCUAUCCACUUCAGAUAUCCUUACUGCUGUCUUUGGGUUCUUUAAACACUGCCUUUUUUCCUUUGCAGAUCACACCCAAAAAGUUUUCUUGAAAAUUAUAUGUAAAUCUGAAACUUUACUAAGUAAAUUUAAAAUCGAAAUUUUAAAAAUCCCGACUGUCCCUAAUUUCAGGAAGCAUGCAUUUAUCAUACGUAACAAGACGUGAAAGCGGCAAGAGUUGUAGCCUAAACACUGAAGACCCCGCGAAGUGAAUCCAGCUGCCGCUCUGCAAGCAGCAACAACGCCUGGGAAGCCUUCUCAGCUACAUCUCGGGGCACUGGUCCAACCUCCCGCAAAAUCCCUCGUUUCCCUUCGCGUGCAGAACCACGGGCACGGUGAUGAUGGUGACAAGCGCAGCAGCACCCAGCAGUCCCAGGAGAACCUUCCACGUUGUCUGCAAGCCGGGCAGAUCAAGUCCAAUUAGAGGGAAGCGUGUGGCCCCAGUUUCCGUAGGAGGGUCGGAGCUGCUCCAGAGGCAGCAGGAUUUGCAGGAAGGAAGCCUGUGCACAGAGAAUAAAUAACUUGGCCAAGCUAUUCAGCUAGGAAGUUGUAGAUCCUAAAUUAGGAGUUCUAGGUCUUAAUGGCUAGUCUAUGCGGCCUCUCAUCGUUCAGUCUUUUCAAGGGUUUUGGAGAAGACUAAAAGAUCAGAUGUUUGAGAGGUUACAAGGUGCCAGCCUCUCUUCCAGGUACUGGAGAUAAAGUGGGACAAGAGAGGUGAGGUCUGGACCCUUGGCACUUUCACGAUAAAAUACACAGAUAAGAAGAUCAGGCCUCUUCAGCUUGUCCGCUGCAGCUGAAAAGCAAAGCCUCUCUAUCAAUAGAGACAUUGCUUUUGAACUCAGUCAUCUUUUCCCCCUUGCCCGCUAGUUGCUUGUGAUACAUCAGUAUCCUCACUCACCCCCAACUCCAGAGGCUGAAACUGACUCUCCUCCUCCCUCUUCCAACUGCUGAUGAAGAGAUGGAGUUUCACCGUGUUAGCCAGGAUGGUCUCGAUCUCCUGACCUCGUGAUGCGCCCACCUCAGCCUCCCAAAGUGCUGGGAUUACAGGCAUGAGCCACCGCGCCCGGCCGCCACUGAAGCUUUACCUGGAAAAGAAACCCAAUGAGACUUAUACUUUAGAUAAAAGCAAACAAACAAACAAACAAACAAACAAACAAACAAACCAGGCAAUAGUGUCUGUUGGAUGGAAUGAGAAAGGGAAGAACUUAAAUUGGGGUGAGAGUCAGUAAACUCUUCGUGUUAGAAAAUUAAUUGGGUAAGUGCCUCUCUGCAAAGUUUGUUGUACAAGCAUGUAAACCAUGCUUAUUUAUUCUUGUUGAAAUAUGACUCUAAAAACUGUUUCUCAGCUAUAGUCAUGGUGUUUUCCUUGACCCAAUUAUCAGUGAUACCAAAUGAGGGGUUCUUCUAACAGCACUCCAUAAAGAAGUGCUUUUUCUACCUUUUAGACCAGAACCCAGUCGAGGGGUAAGGGCACUUUUGUGCUCCUCUUUGGAUGGUAUCCUUUGGAUAUUCUGUGGGUUUUGUAAUUUGAAGAAUUUGCUUAUAUUAACCCCUGACUUAUGGAAAAAAAUAUGACUUAAUGAAGAGAACGUGUUUAAAAACCCGUGGAGCCUGAUUCCACAAAAUGCCUGUAGCUAUAAUGAUGUCUUCUCCUUAGUGUUCUCCAAACUGUGAACACGGGCCAGAUGUGGUGGCAGGAUAGGGGAGCCAGAGAUCACGUCCAACCCCCCUGUAGCUCUUAUGUUGCUCUUCUAGAUUCAGCCAUAGAGCUGAAUCUAGAAACCAAAUUGAUAUCAGGCAGAUUAACAAGAGAAAAGCAAACAGAUGUUAUUGGUUUUUCAUGUACAUGGGGAUCUUCACAAGAGAUUGAAGUCUGAAGUGGCCAAAGCAAGAUACUUUCAUACUUUUUAGACAAAGAAUAACAAAUCUGAGAAGACAUCACAGGACAAAGGGAAUCUGACUAAGAGCAGUACAUUUCUAGGGGAGUCACUAGGCGAUAUAUGACGGGAGGAUGUAAACCUACUGGAAGAUAAGGGCUACUUCAUUAAGUAUAUUUAUUCAGGUUCAUUGCAGCCUCUGAUCCCCAGUCUCUGUUGACAAGGGCUAGUUUCUUGCUCCAGUAAGAAAAUAUUCCUCCCACAGUAAGAAAUAUUUCUGUUUUCUUGCUCCAGCAAGAAAUAUUCCUUCCAGAGGAAUCUACGGCUUGCCACAAGCAGGCAAAGACAGGUCAACUAGCCCUUUCUGAUGCUACAAUUCUCCCAAUGCUUUCAACUUGAAAUAAUCCAUAUACCAAUUUGACAUAUUUUGGGAUGACAUAUCCUUCACUCCUCCAUUUCCCCUGUCUGAAACUUCACUAGUCAUUUCCAACAUUAAAAGCUGAGGUGGUGGCUGUGGAAAGAAAUGGCAAGUUAGUAGCUGUGUCAUAAGGAUUUCAAAACCAGAAAACAACCAAUCUAAGCAUUGUUCCCCACAUUCCAUUAAACCAGCCUCCUAAUCCUGGGAAAAGUUCUAUCCAAUAAAAUGGUUUAGCCUUAUUUAUUUGAUGAAGAGUAUUUGUCUUGUCUUUAAAUAGUACAGAUUAGGCUCUAUUUGUCCCCAAGGAUUUACAUAGAAGCAGUGUUCUUCUCCAGUGUUUGUCAAUGCAUCGAGGACAUGGGGAUUCUGAAAUACAGCAAUGGCUAAAUAUCAGCUUCUGACUGGAGUGCUUUCAGUGCUUGCAUAGAAAUACUGAGCUCUCAUUCUAUAACUCUGGAAAGAUUUAGAAUUGCUUUUUUAAUGUCAUAUACUCCAGUGCUUGGGAAAGAAGCUCUCAAUAUUGAAAAGAACUUAGAAUUGUGAUAUAAACGUGAGUUUUGAAUAGUACAUCUAGUACAUUUGUGUGGUACCACUUUAUAAACAAAAGAGCCCAAGUUUGUAAUUUGACUAGCAUUUAAAGUAGGGUACCUGGAGACAGAGGUGUUAAAUAUAUGAGUCCACAUUGCCUGGACCAUCUAGGUGGGAAUCCUUCAUAUACCUUGUUACCACACAAGAAAAAAGACCAGUAUUGUUCACAAAUAAGGUCAGAGUGGAAUAUGUGACACCACAGGUUGGGGUUUAUUGCACCUUGUUUUCUAGCAUAUUGACAUCUGCUCACGUCUAUCCUCCGUGAAUUCUGUCAGUCCAUAGGAAUGCAAAAGGUCGUGAAAUAUCUGAUAUAGGAGGCUGUUAGUUCAGUUUUGGCAGCUAUAAGGCUUAAUUUUAUUAAGCCAAGUCAGUCUAGAAUUUUGAUCAAUUUAUUUGUAAUCUUUGGUGUCUGCUAGCCUAAUGAGUCUCCCCAAGUUACACAGGGCUGACUUUGGAAGUUUUUAUAACAUCUGGUGAUUUGGCAAGUGUUUGUAUCAUAAGAGUCAGUGUCAGAGCUGCUUAUGACCUUCAUGAAAGGCUGAAGGGUGCCAUGGGCAGAAUCAAAUCACAGGCUUUGACUGCAAUGCCUCAUUGGUAUGUUACUUAAGAAAAGUCCAGCAUUAUUCCUGCUUAUAUUGCAGAGGGAAAAAUUCCUUUCUAAUGACUUUAUUAGAGCAAGGACAGUCUUUGAGCUCUUACAGAGAUUCCCCUGUGUCCAACUGACUCACUGAAAGGAAAAAUAAUGUGUUGUUGUUGUUUAGGUGGUGAAUGCCAUACUUUGACAUACAUUCAUUCUCCAAACUUGAUCCACUGGACACUUGAAUUGUCAGGAACAAAAAAAAAAUAAGUUCAGGGUUUUUCUCUGCAUAAUCUAGGUGUUGACAUAAUCAAUAGUCAGACUGAUUAGUUAUCGUAGCCAGGGUUUGGAAGACUGGUACAAAGAGAUGCUGCAUCUCUGCCUGACCUAUUGGAAAAAUAGUGAGGGCUAAUAAGAGCGAGACACAGUUUGAAGAAAGGUGGUAGUGGAGGAGCAGAGGGAGGAUAGGUAGAGGGAGACAGUUUUCAGUCAGCUUUUAAAGUAGGCUAUCAACAAAUGGGGGCGGGAAGCAUUUGUCACCAAAGAAGAGAUUUUCGUAUGCUUGCUUGUUUGUAUGUUUUCAGGAAGAGUAUUAGGGAGACUUAAAAGAGGAGAGAAAAUAGGUGGGAGUAAAAUUUCUUCAUCCCUGGUCUUGGGAAAAGCUGUCUACUUUGCAAAAAAUGCCAUCUGCUUCUAGGACCUGGGAAUUAGCCCUUGAAAUCCUUACUUUAAGGUCACCUGUAGCGGUGAUCUUUCAAUUGACUUGGACGUGCUGAUCAGGAUCUAGCUUGGGGUCACUUGUUUCAUGAACUCAGGAGGGUUUUUCUUUUAAUGGCAGCAUAGAUAGUCAGCUGUACCUCAUAAGGGCCUUCCCAGUGAAAUGACAGUGUGUGCUUUUCUCUAAAAAUGUUGAUGGACUCAGUCUCCUGGUUGAAAAGGAUAGCAAGGCUUGACAGUUGGCACAGGCCACAUCCUUUUUACCCGAUGGUGAUAUGCUCCAAGCAUAUCAGUGAGUGCCUGUGCAUAACUAGACAUAACAUCACAUUAUUUACUUAAAUCCACAUACAGUCUAUUCAGUCUAGGAAUGGAAGGUUUACAGAUGCCAGUAGGCAUAGGGUAGCCAAACACUAUUUCAAAAGGGGUUAAUCCAUAUUUUCUAUUUGGAGUAUUUUGCCUUUUUAUAAGGGCCAGAGGUAAUGCUUCUGGCAAUUUAAGUCCAAUUUCUCUGAAAUCUUUUUCUAAAGUCCAUUUAAUGUCUAGAUUUGCCUUCAAGAUUGGGGAGAGUAUGGGGUAUGAAAUUUUAGUGAAUACCCCAGAGUUUUUGCAAGCAAGUGGUUUAUCUCUGCUGUAAAAUGAGUUCCUUAAAAUCCAUAAAAUGAUGCGAAAACAAGGAAUAAUCUGUUAUUCAUUUCUUCACCAUUGUUGUGGUGUUAGCAUGUCUAGUCCAAUAGCAUUCAGUCCACCCACUACACAUACAGACAAUAACCAAACCGUGAGAAAAGCCUAAAGCUGGAAGUGAAUCUAUAAAGUCUAUCUGGAGUUCUGCAAGGGAAGUGUGAGCCUUGGAGAACUUGCUCAGGAAUGUUGGUUUCAUCCAGAGAUGUGGUGAGAGUUACAAGUAAUGCACUAGAAAGUAAUUUGGUCAGAAAUUUUGUGGCUCCCAGGGCAAUUAUAGAUCCCAAUUAUCUUUUAGAACCUAAAUCAUCUCAUAUCUGCAUAUAUACACACACACACACACACACACAUAUAUAUAUAUAUAUAUAUAUCCCAUCUGAUGAUCAUUAAUAUCAGCCAAAGAUAAAGGCAAGUUUGCAAACUGGGUAGAAAAAGAAUCAGGGGGCCUGUUUUUGGCUGCACAGUUAACAGCCUUGUCUGCCCUAUCAUCUCCUUAAGAUACACUAUCAGUCUCCUUAGUGUGGGCUGGACAAUGAACAUUGGCCAUUUUAGCAGGAAGAUGAAUAGCCUGUCAUAAGGCAGUCAGUGUAUGUUCACUGGCAAUAGGUGCACCAGCAUAGGUGAGCAGUUCACAGAGUGGCCAGGUUGUGCCAACAGCAUGGCAGACUCUGAGAGCAUAUGUGGAGUCAGCGUGGAUACUGGCCAUUGUUCCUUUUGCCAGUGUGCACAUCCUUCACUCGUUCAGUAGCAUGUGUUUAUAAGACAGGGAUUGGGAUCAGGGUGGAGUGGUGGAGCUGCACUGUAGUUGCCAUGAUUUAGGGAAAGAAGUAGCAAGGACCAGUAGCAAGGACGAGAACAGGGCUGGGGGCAGGCCUCAAACUAUAUUAAAAAGGGACAGCUAAUUUGCCAAGCCAGGGAACACUUAUUCUUUCUUGAGUGGUGGAUCACAUAAUCAGAAAACCGUACAUAAGAGGGCCUCCUAAUUUUUAUGUGUGCUGAUUUGUGAAUAACAAUAAUCAAGGAAUGAGAGUUCGUGCUAAUUAUUGGAUUAGAGUGAAAAAUGUCUGUCAUCCAUUUCUUUUUUAAAAAAAUUAGUGGUGAAAUACACAUAACAUUUAUCAUCUUAACCGUUUUUCAGUGUA